UACGGAGGGGGCUAGCGUUGUUCGGAAUUACUGGGCGUAAAGCGUACGUAGGCGGCUUUGUAAGUUAGAGGUGAAAGCCCGGGGCUCAACUCCGGAAUUGCCUUUAAGACUGCAUCGCUUGAAUCAUGGAGAGGUGAGUGGAAUUCCGAGUGUAGAGGUGAAAUUCGUGGAUAUUCGGAAGAACACCAGUGGCGAAGGCGACUCACUGGACAUGUAUUGACGCUGAGGUACGAAAGCGUGGGGAGCAAACAGG
rnacentral:rRNA from 1 species